rnacentral:rRNA from 1 species
CCUACGGGUGGCAGCAGUGAGGAAUAUUGGUCAAUGGCCGUAAGCCUGAACCAGCCAAGUCGCGUGAGGGAAGACGGCCCUACGGGUUGUAAACCUCUUUUAUGCGGGAACAAAGGUGUCCACGAGUGGCUGUUUGCAGGUACCGCAUGAAUAAGGACCGGCUAAUUCCGUGCCAGCAGCCGAGGUAAUACGGAAGGUCGGGGCGUUAUCCGGAUUUAUUGGGUUUAAAGGGGGCGUAGGCCGGUCUUUAAGCGUGCCGUGAAAUGUUGGGGCGCAACCACGUGAGUGCGGAGGAAACUGGCGAGCUUGAGUGAGAGGAAGGCAGGCGGAAUGCGUGGUGUAGCGGUGAAAUGCUUAGAUAUCACGAAGAACCCCGAUUGCGAAGGCAGCGUGCCGGAGCGUUACUGACGCUGAAGCACGAAAGCGCGGGUAUCGAACAGGAUUAGAUACCCGAGUAGUC